UAAAGGGCUACAGGCAGUGCUUACUUUUAGCACUGUAUGCAGCUCAUCAAAAAGUCUAGGUCUACGGAAAAUGGGUGCAGCUGAUAAAGGCGAGCUCGAAGUAUCAAUGGGUAUUUACAUCCCCAUUUAAAUGCCUGUUUGCAACACUCACAUUUUGCUCACGCAAACAGAGCAGUCAGUCAGUCUGGGGCCACUAAUUUUGGCCAUAGGUGACAAAGGG